CAAGCGCUAGAAAAUGGUCAUCUUGAGAUAGCUAAGGUAGGUAUAACAAAAGUUGGGAAGGAAGUUUUUGAUUUUUCCUCCCUUUCGAAAGACGCAUAUUUCGGCCAAGAUAAAGAAAGAGUGGUAAACUUUUUAUUGCAUAAUAUUGAUCCCAAAAGCAUAGAUAUAGCCACAAUUAUGACAAACGCAUGUUUAUUUGGCUGGAAAGACAUAGUAACUUUCAUUGUCGAUAAUGAUUUAAGCAAUCUUUGUGAUCUAUCUCUUGCAUUAAAUACAGCUUGUGACAAUGGUGAACUAGAAAUCGUGCAACUUUUGUUAGAAAAAAUUGACCCUCAUAUUUUUACCACUGCUGACAAAGCAAUGCACUCUGUUGCUGUUAAAGGAUGGGACGAAAUAACUUUAUUGCUAUUAGACAAAGUCGAACACACAAGGUUAAAUAUCGGAAACGCUCUUAUUGAAGCUUGUC
rnacentral:lncRNA from 1 species